rnacentral:rRNA from 1 species
CCUANGGGGGGCAGCAGUGGGGAAUUUUGGACAAUGGGCGCAAGCCUGAUCCAGCAAUGCCGCGUGCAGGAUGAAGGCCUUCGGGUUGUAAACUGCUUUUGUACGGAGCGAAACGGCCUCUUCUAAUACAAGAGGCUAAUGACGGUACCGUAAGAAUAAGCACCGGCUAACUACGUGCCAGCAGCCGCGGUAAUACGUAGGGUGCAAGCGUUAAUCGGAAUUACUGGGCGUAAAGCGUGCGCAGGCGGUUUUGUAAGACAGAUGUGAAAUCCCCGGGCUCAACCUGGGACCUGCAUUUGUGACUGCAAGGCUAGAGUACGGUAGAGGGGGAUGGAAUUCCGCGUGUAGCAGUGAAAUGCGUAGAUAUGCGGAGGAACACCGAUGGCGAAGGCAAUCCCCUGGACCUGUACUGACGCUCAUGCACGAAAGCGUGGGGAGCAAACAGGAUUAGAUACCCCUNUANUC